GAGGGUAUGGCUCAGUGGUAGAGCGAAUGCUUAGCAUGCACAAGGUCCUGGGUUUAAUUCCUAGUACCUCCA
rnacentral:tRNA from 1 species